AGUGUCUGUGAAGGAGAGAAUUCAGAGGCAGGACUUUGUGAGGAAAAAGGAGAACUUGAGCAGUGAGAUUAAGAAGCAGCAGAGUUUGGGCCGAGAAGAGAAAGGACAGAUUUUGGGACAACAACAGAAAAGACUCUUGAAAAGGAGAAGAUUCUGUUCUCCAGCCUCAUUUGCUCAGCCACAGAAUCAGGACCAGGAGCCAGAAGAUGGUCAGGGCCUAAGAGCUGCAGAGAAGCUUGAAGAGUGGCUGCUGCUUCACCCAGAGGUGCACCUAAGUAAUUUUGCAGCCUGGACCUAAAGACUUUUCAGAGCCCCCCAUUCCCUUAGCCACAAGGGCAGGCGGAGCAGGCCUAGCUGCACUCGGAUGCAAAUGAAGAGACAAAAGCCCCACAAUGCUGCAAACUUGUUUAUUUAAGCCCUUUUUAAUGCAUAUCGGCCGAAGCUUUCUUCAGGGGCAAACUAGGACGCAUAAUAACAUAGAGAAUGUUAAAAUAUACAAUCAUUAAACUCUUAAAACAAUAAAAUUGGAACGACCAGUUAUAAAAACUGUAAUCAUUGUACACUUGCAUGUUAUCCAAUGUAAUCCUGUCACAAAAGCACUUCUUCAAAAACAGGGCUGACUACUGUGGGUGGAACUUCCAUUGUACUGCUGCAACCAGCCUGCAAUGCUAUAUAUUUGAAGGGGCAGAUCUCAUGGAGGCAGUCAAAAACCAAAACCGGUGCCUGGAGCUGUUUCAGACAUCAGAUGAAAAUGUGAUUGUUCAGAGAAGCCUUGAGUGUAUGCUGAAUGUUGAUUGGCUGCUGACCACUGACCACCACAUUAAGAUAAUGCUAUAUUUUAUUGAUCAGGUUUUGAAAUUGUUUUAAUGUGCUGCUGAUUAUUUUUGUUUGGUUACGUAGUUGGUUUUAUUGUAUUAUUGUGAAGCUGCUCAUAGUGUUUCUUCUAAGAAGAGCAGUUAUAAUAAAUAAAGACGGUUGCAAUUUCUUCUA